GACACUUGUAUCCUAUCGUUUCGAGAAAUCAAAGCAUUUCUGCUUUGAGUAAACAACUGUGGACGUGGUUGUUCUUGCCUUCACUUUGUACCUAGGAUGGGAUGGGGAAACAUUUACAGAAGGCGUGUGAGAGUAUUUGCAGCGGCUGUAAUGAUCUAUCUGGAUUAUAAGGCUGUACAGCAAAGAGAUAAAUGGACCAUCAAAUCGAAAAGAGCUGCAUUGUGGGAGAAGGCUCAUGAGCGCAAUGCUAAGCGUGG
rnacentral:misc_RNA from 1 species